rnacentral:rRNA from 1 species
UACGUAGGGAGCGAGCGUUGUCCGGAUUUAUUGGGCGUAAAGAGCUCGUAGGCGGUUUGGUAAGUCGGGUGUGAAAGCUCCGGGCUCAACUCGGAGAGGUCACUCGAUACUGCCAUGACUUGAGUCCGGUAGGGGGGUGUGGAAUUCCCAGUGUAGCGGUGAAAUGCGCAGAUAUUGGGAGGAACACCAAUGGCGAAGGCAGCACCCUGGGCCGGUACUGACGCUGAGGAGCGAAAGCGUGGGGAGCAAACAGG